rnacentral:rRNA from 1 species
UACGAAGGGGGCUAGCGUUGCUCGGAAUCACUGGGCGUAAAGCGCACGUAGGCGGAUUGCUAAGUCAGGGGUGAAAUCCUGGAGCUCAACUCCAGAACUGCCCUUGAUACUGGCGGUCUCGAGUCCGGGAGAGGUGAGUGGAACUGCGAGUGUAGAGGUGAAAUUCGUAGAUAUUCGCAAGAACACCAGUGGCGAAGGCGGCUCACUGGCCCGGUACUGAUGCUGAGGUGCGAAAGCGUGGGGAGCAAGCAGG